CUUCAGCUACGGCGAGAACAGUCGAGAAGAGAGUCUCGCAAGAAAGUAAAUUAAUCAGGCUCGAGAGCGCUAAGUAUAUCUCGCGAUAGUAGUGUUUUAAAAUGGCGGACGGCCGCAAGGCGCUCCACGGGUUGUCUGGAAAGGUUUGGAGGUGGGGCGCGGACGAGGAUGAACCCUGAACUGACCAGAAGUCGGAAAACUAUUGGAAGCGGAAUGGUCUGUCCGGGCGGGUGCAAGUUUUUUCGUUCGACAUGGAGAAGUUGGAGAUGAAGAAGGCAGGCCAAAAAUUGACCUUCCCAUCUCCUCAUUACCUUCUUGGCUGGGGAUGUGGCUCAAGCGGUAGCGCGCUUGCCUGGCA